rnacentral:rRNA from 1 species
GACGAACGCUGGCGGCGUGCUUAACACAUGCAAGUCGAACGGCAAGGCCCUGCUUUUGUGGGCUGCUCGAGUGGCGAACGGGUGAGUAACACGUGAGUAACCUGCCCUUGACUUUGGGAUAACUUCAGGAAACUGGGGCUAAUACCGGAUAGCAGCUCCUGCUGCAUGGUGGGCGUUGGAAAGUUUCGGCGGUUGGGGAUGGACUCGCGGCUUAUCAGCUUGUUGGUGGGGUAGUGGCUUACCAAGGCUUUGACGGGUAGCCGGCCUGAGAGGGUGACCGGCCACAUUGGGACUGAGAUACGGCCCAGACUCCUACGGGAGGCAGCAGUGGGGAAUAUUGCACAAUGGGCGGAAGCCUGAUGCAGCAACGCCGCGUGCGGGAUGACGGCCUUCGGGUUGUAAACCGCUUUCGCCUGUGACGAAGCGUGAGUGACGGUAAUGGGUAAAGAAGCACCGGCUAACUACGUG